UACAUAUGAUAAUUACGUAUUAUUUAAAACAUACAAAUAAUUUUCUUUGCAAAAAAUGUAGCACUUCAUGUUUUAUUACAGUUCCAUUUUUAGUUGAUUCUUUAAGUUUUAGUAAGAUUCCUGCUUAUAGAGCACAACAGAAUAUUACAGAGCAAUUUAAGGACAUGCAAAAGCAUAUAAACCUGUGUUCCUGAGACAUUUGCAUGUUGUGGCUAGUUCAUAUUUUUUGUUUGGAGAAAUAAUGCCAGUUGUUUACUUCAACAGAUUUAUCAGUGUUGGCGCUUUAAAGUAACUGUCAGUAAAUGCUCACAAUGAAUUAUUACAUCACUACUUUUUCUCUUCAUUAGUGAAGUUGAGGUCCCAUCAUGGAAUCCAUGGGAAGGCUGAGUUCAGAACAGCAAUGAUUUUACUCUUCUAAACUUUUAUUAGCAUCUAAAGUGCAUUAUGCAAUAACUGAAUAAUGUUGAUGAUAAAUUAUCAUAAUUAUUUUAGAAAUGAAACUGCCUUGACAAAACCCUUGUUUUGAAUCUCUUUCAGUUUGUAGGAUAACUAAAUAUAAAAGCCAAAUAAACUUCAGCCAUUAGGUGACUCCCAGUUAACUUUAAUAUAGCCCUCAAAAGCAGAUCACAGAGCCCAAUGGAUCUUCUGUGGAUCCCUAGUUUUACAGACAAUAAUGAUAAGGAUGUUCACACCUCUUGUUUCAAAACCAGACACCAUUUCAUUCAGUAAUUCAGAAAACAAUUCUUACUGCAUGCAAUUAUUAGCAAGAGCAAUAUAUUUUGAUUCAACUUGUAUGUAACUCUCACAAAUGUUUCUAACUCAUUUUAAUAGCUUUUUAAUUUAAUUUUUAAAAAUUUGGUAAGCCUCUACAUUGACUCUUUCUAAAUAUGCAUGUCACAACUUUGUUUCCAAACUACAGAACAAGCACAUUGCAACCUCUCUAAAAAUCCUGACCCUUUAGGUACGGUAGGUAAGUUUGUGGGGUUUUUAAAUGUUAAAAAAAGAGUAGGAAACAGGAAAUGAUUGCUUUUCCACCAACUACUGAAUCAAGGAAAAUUAAAAAUCUUUUAGUCUCCACAUUAUUUACCAAUAUAAUAUUCAUUGAAAUAUUUAAGGGGAAAGCACACAGUAAGCUAAGGGUGUGUUAAGAAGCCUAGGUAAGUGCUCAACAUUAAUCAAAUCAAUAUGUAAAUUUGUGUUUGAUUGGGAAACCUGCAUUGGUCAUGAAUGACCCCAGCACAGAGCAGAGAGCAGCUAUGAUAAAUGAGCUUAAAAGCUUCAAAAUUCCAAUUAAAAUCUUCAAACAGAAAUGUAACAGUGUGAUCCAAACUGAUUCAUGUAAUUCUCAUGUGGGUGCUGGGACAGGCAUUUUUUUUUGCAAAAGCAGACCCACUGAAUGUAACAACUUGAUAUGUGAUACAAAAAAAUAAAGUGAUUUUAGUUAAUUGUUCUUUUAAACUGCUGAUGAUUUUUCUUUGUGUUGGAGCAACUUUACAAUGUCCAAAAGUAAAGCUCUGGAUGGAUGUCAAAUGGGUUUAUUUAAAAGGAGAAAAUGGCAAAGAACACAGGUGCUCUCUCUGGUGUAAAUUUAGAAUUUCACUGGAGGAGGUAUGCUAGCAAAACAGUUAAUGAGAUCCAUAACUGAAAAUACAGUGCAUUUGCUUUUUUUCUAAACAGGAAAAUAUUAUUUUCUCUCUCAGUUAAAAUUUCUAAUUAAAUCAAAAGAAGAAACUUCCUUUAGAAGAAGUGUGGCUAUAUAGAUGCCAUACCAAAGGAAUUAAUAAGUUGGCUGACCUAUAAAAAUUUGGGAUAAUCUUAAAAGUAACUUGGUAUUUAAAAUAAAGUUUAAAAGGGACAACACUUAUUAACAAAAUGCAUUGUCACAUGAUUCAGGCAGAAAUGUUUUCUUUUCUGACAAGCAAUUUACAGCUAUCUCUUGGAUAUUUUUUCAUAAGGGGCAGAUUCAAUUUUCUUCCAAACAUCAGCUGUGGACUGAUGCUGGAAGCGGGAUAGUCUCAUGUCAGAGAUCAUGCAGACACAGGUAUCUCUGGUUGCUCAGUCCCUCUGCUAUCACAUGGCACUUGGAAAGCUCUCAAACAUCAUCCUAAAAAAUUAAUUCCACUGUUUGCCUUGGUUUCACUUUCUGACAGAAUUUUCCAGAAGAAUUAAUGAAAGAGUAAUUAUCUACUAAAUGAACUCUGCCUCUGGAAGCCCUUCCUCACAGACCACUGAAAACAGAGAUCAGACUUGCAAAAGAGGGAUCUCAUAUCUCUGACUCUACCCUGGGUAGCAGAUGAUUCCUGUUUUUAUUAGAAAGAGAAUCUUAAGCUACACACACCUAUACUGUGCCUCAGGGAGGAUAUUUAACAUUCUUCAUCUAACUGCAAUUCUAUUUCAGGGGCAAAUGCAGUGAGGAUGAAGCACUGGAGACAAAAAAGGGGCCUGGAAUGUGCAGGGAGCUGGCUGUGACAUCCAGUGGUUCAGAGAACAGGAUUUGUGCCUUCACCUGUGGAGAUCAAGCAGUCAGAUCUGGGAUACAUGUGCCUAGCAGAGGGUAUCAGCGCUCCUAGAGCCCCCAACAUAAACACAAGAUUUCAUUUUAGGAUGAUCAUCUGGAUAAUGUUUUACACUUGGUAACUACUUUCAAAAAGGUUUGUUGAAAGAUUGAUCCAUAUGCUGCAUGCUGACAGACACUGAUCUGAAGAAUUAUCUCUGGAGUGUGCAGGAUGUGUCAGGCAGUGAUGCAGGGUCAAAGUCCAUUUUUGAGAGUCUGAGAGGUAUGGUGAGGUGUGGUGUGCAGGAUGGAUAUGUUCCUCCAGUAAGCUCUGGCCAGCUUUACUCAAGGUGCUUCUAGCAGGCAAUCAAUGAAAUGCUUACCUGACUAGUGUGGCUCUCCCUGUGCCUUGGAAUCGAUGAGCCUGCUGUAGUGCCGGCUGACAGUCUGGAAUAUUCAUUUUCCUCUGGUAAUCCUAAAGCAGAAGAAUGCUAAUUUAAAAUCUGAGAUUUAGGCACUGGUUUAUUUCAAAAUAAGAUUCAAAAGACCUUCAUAUGUUUUACUAAAAAAGAAAGAAAAAACCUAAAUCACACAUUUCCUGAAUAUUUACUAUUUCCAUGCUUACAGAAACAGAACAAUUCUUUUUUACCAUGUAGGGAUACCAUCAUAGGUGUGUAUGUUGGUUGACAAGAAGGAGCAAUCGUAACUGAAGAGCCUGCAGAUAACACUUUACCUAUACACUGGCCAGGGACAACUCCUGUAAUGCAGAGAUCCCUGGCUCCUCUUCCCCUGGCUUGUUUUUAUGGCAGAAGCAAUGCAAAGGGAACAAAACCCACGCCUGCAGCAUUCUGCUCUCAAAUUAAUAUCUCUGUGUCACACAGAAAGUCAAUAUUAGGUCAGGAUUAAAAACUUCACCCCCUCAUUAUAAAACAUGUUUUUUGUAAGUCUUAUAAUUAUUGUGCACAUUCGAUGUGGGAAUCAGCUGUCCAAAAUUUAGCUGUGUAAAAACCAGUCAUCCAGUGUAACACAGAAAGGCAGUCUCCUCCUGUAGGCAAGAGAAACAAACACCUCUGCAAAGUGAUCCUAGAGCGAGGCUCAUUGCUUGUGCUUCCCCAGCACUUCUGCAGCAGCGGGAAUACCACUCACAUGGCACUACAGAGGAUCUGAAAGGUGGGAUGAGGGGGAGCAAAGGCAGAAGCAGAAACACAGGGAGUCCACGAUGGGCAUUAUUAAGCAUCUCACAGACCAGAAUCACCAUGGUAGGUCUGUGCAUUGGCUCUAGCAGAGCUGGAUAUCAUUUUUCCCAUAGCAGCCCUCACAGUGCUGUGCUUGUGGUGGGUUGACCCUGGAUGGAUUCCAGGUGCCCACUCAAGCAGCUCCAUCACUCCCCUCCUCAGCUGGACAGAGGGCAGAAAAUAUAAUGAAGAAGGGUUGUGGGUCGAGAUAAGGAUAGGAGAGAUCACUCACCAGUUACUGUCAUGGCAAAAACACACUCACCCUGGGGAAAUGAACUGAAUUUAUUUAUUACCAAUCAAAAUCAGAGUAGGAAAAUGAGAAUUAAAACAAAGCUUAAAACCCCUAGAAAUCCCCCUAUCCUCCUUUUAGUUUCCCCCUUGUAACAGUGCCUUCCCACAACUUUGUAACCAGGGACAACGUUUUUUUAAUUUUCUUUGCUCUGAAUAAAGCUCAUGUAAAGUAUUCAUAAAUAUGGAUCUUUUUUGACAUCAUCUGGACUUUCUCUGAACACACAGACAGUGAAGAAGGUGAAUCCCUUGUUUGAAGCUCAGGAACCAGAUCAAAUCUGAGAGAGUCCAGCAUUUCAGUUCUUUACUGUUUGCUGCAAAGACCCUGACUCUGACCCUGUUCUCUCAGUAUUUCCAACUAUGUGUUGUUUUGAGGUGAGAUUAUCACCUUUUGAAGCUGGGAAAAGAUAUAUUAGGUAUGUACAGGGGAAAGGUGUGACAUCCAAGGUCUCUAGUGUACUGACAGUCUUGUAAAUUAUAUGUCAGUUACCACUAUUACUUUCUUAUCUACAUUAAAUUCUCUGUACUCCAACUAAAAGUUCUCCUUUUGGAAGAUCAUGUUUUUGGUCGAAUGGAAUGCUUGAAAUAAAUUUCCAUCUAAAAAAUCCAAGUUUUUGAGAAUGUAAAACAACUCCCCUUUUUCCAAUGAUUUCCUGAACUAAUAAUUUAUUUACAUGGAUUCAGUUUGGAUACAUCUCAAAUAAAGUAAUAAAAAAAAAGCGUUUUUUUAUGUGAUGUACUUUCUAAAAGUAGGUGCUAUUCAUUUAAUUCAAAUAAAAGGUACAAUGUAAAAUAUUUUCAUAAUUCUAGACCACCACAACUGAAUAAAGACACUUUACUAGGCCAAGCAGCAAGUUCUGAAAAAUAUAUUGAUUUUGUACUAUGUUAAUACACUUUAGGAUCGACUGCCCAGGACAGCCUUGAGCUAAGAAUCAGGUUAUCAAUGAUUUUCUGUUUAUUUCUGUAAAAAGCACUUUGAUAAUUGGCCUUAUCAAAUAAGUAAAGUUUUCAUAUACAGCAUCAGCACGUUGUCACAGACAUGGCAAGCAGAGGCUUGGUAGAGUUUGGAAAGGCAAAUGGAGUAGUUGAUUAUACACUAAGAGCUUUCUGUUAUGUACACCUAAGCAAACAUUAGGAUACCACAGUUGUGCAUUGAGUAAGACAUUGUUUAAUUCAGUCCAAGGUUGGAAGCAUCAGUUUAGCUGGGCCAGAGGCAAAAUUACAAGAACCUAAAUUAAUCAGGGGUUCAGUCUGGAGUAUAAACUAAGCCAUCUGGAUGGGCUGUUCUGCAACUGUUCUCAAGUUACCAAAGUUAAGCUGAAUUUUGUUACAUUCCCCUGUGGGAAUGGUUUCUCCUCCCUCAGGGACCCCUAGAGCUUGUACCAUGUAGUUUGACCCUUCCUUCCCUUUUUGACCCCAUUGGCUGUGUCCCAAUUUGCCCCUCCUUGACAAGAGCUGAGAAAAGACCCUGUUCCUCUGUGCACGCCCUCUUUCCCUCUGGAGACCACCUUGAAUAAACAUCUUACUGCAGCUAAGGGUUAGAGCCUCUUUUGGGUCCUUUUUCCUGUCUAUGAUAUAUUCCUCCAGAGCCUGAGAAGGCCUGAGCUAGCUUAGACCCUUGGAGGGGUUAAAAGGAGGAGAAUUUGACUUUUUUUUUUUUUUUUUUUUUUGCAAAAUUAAGUUUAUUGCUGCAAUUAUAUGUGGCAUUGUUUUGGGUGAUGUAGGAUCACAACUUUCAGCAUUGCAAUGUAAAAGGUUAUUUCAGGCUUUCUGAUUACUUUGUGUAUUUGGCAAAAAACUUCUUUCAGACUAAGAACUCUGCUAAGUGUGGAAGAUUUGAGGUGAAGUCACUGUUUGAUAGCACAGAGCUGUAAAAAGGUGCUACUCCCCCUAUCAAAAAUAAACUACAAAAUAAGAGCAAUUAUAUUCAUUAUACAAAAUGAAAAAAACUUUUAUUAAAAAUCUGAAUGGAGAGAAGUGUUAUUAAUCCUUAGGAUUGAUGCUUUUUGAACAUUGAAAGAUAUUCUGUCACUGCUCUUGUGCCAUUUUCUAUUGCAAUAAUAAACAACAUUUCAUUCACUAAUAAGGCACCUACAGCAAAGGGAGAUCCUGAUUUUCUGUUUUCUGCCCCAUUUAUAUUGAUUACAGGAUCAGAAUCUCAAAUCUCUGUCCUUUAUACCUUAGGCUACUCAUAGACUUGGAGCUGAAGUAAUUACGAAUUCCUCAACAGAGGCUGUUUUAUUUUCUUCACAUUCAGCUUUUAUUGGAGAGGGCUUAUCAGUUCACACAUACAAAGUUAAGCCAGUUCCAGAAACAGAUAUUUCACAACUCAGAAGAUUCCAGCCUGACUAUCUUACAAAGCUCAUUCAAGGAAACACUUCAGCAAUUU